rnacentral:rRNA from 1 species
UACGUAGGGUGCAAGCGUUGUCCGGAAUUAUUGGGCGUAAAGAGCUCGUAGGCGGUUUGUCGCGUCUGCUGUGAAAACUCGGGGCUUAACUCCGGGCCUGCAGUGGGUACGGGCAGACUAGAGUGCGGUAGGGGAGACUGGAAUUCCUGGUGUAGCGGUGAAAUGCGCAGAUAUCAGGAGGAACACCGGUGGCGAAGGCGGGUCUCUGGGCCGUAACUGACGCUGAGGCGCGAAAGCUAGGGGAGCAAACGGG